AGAAUGACGUACGAUAUUGGAGCAGACGGCAUGAAACGCAUUUCUUCGCUGUUCUCUAUAAAUAUGUCGUCAGAGCUGGUGUAGCUUCGACUCCUGUACAUGUGUAUCCACUAAUGCAGACACUUCAUCGUUUAGACGACUAUGCGAAUACGAAUCAGGAUGUUUCCAGAGGCGGAUCCAGAACCCGAUUGAAGGAGGGAGGGGCACAAAAACCAAUCAGGAAUAAUAUCGUGACUUCGUUUAGAACUACAGAAGACAAGUAAAACUGCAGCAAAGCCUUUCUGGUAAGGAAGCUUUGGUCACGAGUUGAAGCAAGUUGACUCAGUGGCGGAUCUAGAGGGGGUUCCGAGGGUUCCGUGGAACCCCUAAAAUUUUGUGACGUCAUCACGCGGAGAUGACCGCGUACCAGCAGUGCUUGUUACUUCCUGAUGUGACUUGCAGCUCACGUUUUAGUUUUAGGUAACUUCACACGGAGGUGCAGUACAGAUUAUGAACUUUCGACGUAGGUCCAUCAUCGUCGUACGGUACUCCUACUCUUUCUACAUUAAUUUACGGUAACUUGUUUUCAAUCUCAGUUGUUCUCCAACAACAUGUUUCAUUUACUUCCUUGCAAUGAUAAUGUUUCAAAGUAGUUAUUUUCUAUCUCAUGAAAAUAUACUUCCACCUUUGAUGGUCACAACAUUCACAAUUUCAUGAAACCAUAUAUGUCUAUAGACGCUUUCUUCGGAAAGAAAAGAGAAAGCAGUAACAUUUGCCUGUCUAGCGAAAGACAUGUAUAGGCUUGCAAGAUCAAUUCAAAUUCUCCAGUACUGUAGAUUCAUUAACGUAUACUUCCAUUCUAUGGUAUAGGUGAUUAAAUAGCUAAUUUAUAUCUGGAGGCGUGACUGAUCCUAACCUUUGUGACGUCACGGAACCCCCAUUCGAAAAUCCUGAAUCUGCCCCUGUGACUGGAUAAUCUGAGUUCAUGCACUGACUGACGAAAAUAAUCAGAAGACGUAUUUCUGAAGGGGGAACGUGCCCCCAGUGCCCCCUGUCUGGAUCCGCCUCUGGCUUCCAACUUCCGCUUACCGGAUCUUUUUCACGCCCUUACGUGUUGACAAAUGCAACUAAAGAAGGAGAAUAGCAAGCCUAUUGUCCUUUCCAAAUGGAAACAUGAUGUUUUCAGAAACAGUUUUCUUCUAUGAAACAUACUUGGCUAUUAUCCGACUUUCUAUGAAUUGUGGAUGGUUACAGCACAUUGCCAACUAGUUGAACUAUGUUUUCCCAUAUUGUUUGAAUCUUUAGAUUGUGCUACAAUGACUUUAGCACGAUUUGUACGACUUCUGUUAGUUUGACAUUUGAGCUGACAGGUGAAUGUGAACAAAAUCAACAGAAAAGGAAGGUAUAACGGUGUUAUAUUUAGUUGUCUAUGCAAAACAAUGAUUCUACUAUGUUGCUAUGAGUUUUUGUGUAGCAUUUUGCCCGUUUUCAGGUAGAAAACUACUGCUGUUUUAGACAGUUCAUUUUAUAAAAUAUACUUGGAUAUAGUUUGAGUUUCUAUAAA